rnacentral:tRNA from 1 species
GGGGCUGUGGCUCAGUGGUAGAGUGCUUGCCUAGCAUGUAUGAGGCACUGGGUUCGAUCCCCGGCACCA